rnacentral:rRNA from 1 species
AAGAGCUCAAAUUUGAAAUCUGGCCCCCCCGGGGGGUCCGAGUUGUAAUUUGCAGAAGGUGUCUCGGGAGAGUCCCCGGCCCAAGUCCCCUGGAACGGGGCGUCGCAGAGGGUGAGAAUCCCGUACGGCCGGGGCCGACCCCGCACGAGGCCCUUUCGACGAGUCGAGUUGUUUGGGAAUGCAGCUCAAAACGGGUGGUAAAUUUCAUCUAAAGCUAAAUACCGGUCGGAGACCGAUAGCGCACAAGUAGAGUGAUCGAAAGAUGAAAAGCACUUUGGAAAGAGAGUUAAAAAGCACGUGAAAUUGUUGAAAGGGAAGCGCUUGCGGCCAGACUCGCCCGCGGGUGCUCAGCCGUCCCCCACGGGGGCGGUGCACUCACCCGCGGCCGGGCCAGCAUGGGUUUCGGCGGCCGGACAAAGGCUCGAGGAACGUGACUCUCCUCCGGGGGAGUGUUAUAGCCUCUUGUGCAAUGCGGCCAGCCGGGACCGAGGAACGCGCAUUCUUGCCAGGAUGCUGGCGUAAUGGCUGCCAGCGACCCGUCUUGAAACACGGACCAAGGAGUCGAUCAAAGUCGCGAGUGUUUGGGUGUCAAACCCGCACGCGCAGUGAAAGCAAACGGAGGUGGGAGCCCCCCGGGGUGCACCUCGACCGAUCCUGAAGUUUACGGAUGGAUUUGAGUACGAGCGAUUUUGAUCGGACCCGAAAGAUGGUGAACUAUACGUGGCUAGGGCGAAGCCAGAGGAAACUCUGGUGGAGGCUCGUAGUGAUUCUAACGUGCAAAUUGAUCUCCAAAGCUGCGUAUAGGGGCGAAAGACUUAUCGAACUAUCUAGUAGCUGGUUCCUGUCGAAGUUUCCCUCAGGAUAGCAGAGACGAUCUUCAGUUUUAUGAGGUAAAGCGAAUGAUUAGAGGUUCGGGGGCCGAAACUGGCCUUCACCUAUUCUCAAACUUUAAAUAUGUAAGAAGCCCUUGUUACUUAAUUGAACGUGGGCCUUCGAAUGUACCGUCUCUAGUGGGCCAUUUUUGGUAAGCAGAACUGGCGAUGCGGGAUGAACCGAACGCGGGGUUAAGGUGCCGGAAUGCACGCUCAUGAGAUACCACAAAAGGUAUCGUUAAAUUAAGACAGCCGGUCGGUGGCCACGGAAGUUGGAAUCCGNUAAGAGUGUGUAACAACUCACCGGCCGAAUUUAGCGGUCCUGAAAAUGGAUGGCGCUCAAACGUGCUACCUAUACCCCGCCACC